rnacentral:rRNA from 1 species
AACGCUGGCGGCGCGCUUAACACAUGCAAGUCGAACGAGAAAGGGGAGCAAUCCCUGAGUAAAGUGGCGUACUGGUGAGUAACACGUGGAUAUCUACCUCUUGGUGGGGAAUAACCUGGGGAAACCUGGGCUAAUACCGCAUAAGUUCGUGAGAAGAAAGGCGUAAGUCGCCGAGAGAGGAGUCCGCGGUCGAUUAGGUAGUUGGCGGGGUAAGAGCCCACCAAGCCAAAGAUCGAUAGCCGGCCUGAGAGGGCACACGGCCACACUGGCACUGAAACACGGGCCAGACUCCUACGGGAGGCAGCAGUGGGGAAUCUUGCACAAUGGGGGAAACCCUGAUGCAGCGACGCCGCGUGAGCGAUGAAGCCCUUCGGGGUGUAAAGCUCUUUCGGCAGGAACGAUAAUGACGGUACCUGCAGAAGAAGCUGCGGCUAACUACGUGCCAGCAGCCGCGGUAAUACGUAGGCAGCAAGCGUUGUUCGGAAUUACUGGGCGUAAAGAGUGUGUAGGUGGUGUCGUAAGUUUGGUGUGAAAUCUCCCGGCUUAACUGGGAGGGUGCGCCGAAGACUGCGAUGCUGGAGUAUGGGAGAGGAAAGCGGAAUUCCUGCGUGUAGCGGUGAAAUGCGUAGAUAUCAGGAGGAACACCUGCGGUGUAGAC